AUUGAACGCUGGCGGCAGGCCUAACACAUGCAAGUCGAAUGGUAACAGGAAACAGCUUGCUGUUUCGCUGACGAGUGGCGGACGGGUGAGUAAUGUCUGGGAAACUGCCUGAUGGAGGGGGAUAACUACUGGAAACGGUAGCUAAUACCGCAUAACGUCGCAAGACCAAAGAGGGGGACCUUCGGGCCUCUUGCCAUCAGAUGUGCCCAGAUGGGAUUAGCUAGUAGGUGGGGUAACGGCUCACCUAGGCGCCGAUCCCUAGCUGGUCUGAGAGGAUGACCAGCCACACUGGAACUGAGACACGGUCCAGACUCCUACGGGAGGCAGCAGUGGGGAAUAUUGCACAAUGGGCGCAAGCCUGAUGCAGCCAUGCCGCGUGUAUGAAGAAGGCCUUCGGGUUGUAAAGUACUUUCAGCGGGGAGGAAGGGAGUAAAGUUAAUACCUGUGCUCAUUGACGUUACCCGCAGAAGAAGCACCGGCUAACUCCGUG
rnacentral:rRNA from 1 species